GUUCUAUUUAACAUAGUGGAUUGACCGGAUGGAUUUUAUCUUCUCUUUUACCUAAAACUCUGCAUAAUCGUUUAAAUAUAUUAUUCACAAUAACAAAGAACAUGAGAGGAAAAACAGUAACCAGUGAGAUAUUUCAACAAGGGUACAGAAGGCAGGAACAGAUGAGAGGUGGUAAAGUACAGGGAACGUGUCUACAGCUGAAGACAUGGACAGGAAGAGGUCGUUUACCACAAGGAGCCCAACAAAAAGGGUCUCUUUCCAUAGCUGGGCCGCAGGGCAGGAGCUCUCUCCCUCCUCCAUCUCGCAGGGAUGGGGGUGCUCCAGGCAGGGGACCCAGGAAAAGUCUCCUCAGUGCAGGAGCCCCUGACCACCUGCUCCCAGACAAUCGGAAGCCCGGGUGGGCAGCCUUCCCCCCACGGGGGAAAUGAAUGACGCCCCCAGCCCACAGGCCCUACCGUGAUUCAGUCUGGUUUUUAGUACCUCAGUCGUCAGUGUGAAAGGACAGUCCAGCAUCACAAGAAAUUUGAUUUUUAAAAAAUAAUGAAAAUUACAAAAAUUAACAUAGAGUUAGCAGUCUAUAAAGAGAGCAGAAAAAAACUUAAAAAAAAAAACCUAUAUUAACAUCCUUAGAUAGGCAAAUCCUGCAUUCAUAAAACAGCAAGAUGAACGCACAUGUGCAUACAGAGAAUAAAUCACAGCUCCUGCAAUUUGUAGGAAUGAUAACUAAAAUAAAACAAAAUUUUUGGCCAGGUGCAGUGGCUCAUGUCUGCAAUCCCAGCACUUUGGGAGGCUGAGGUGGGAGGAUUACGAGGUCAAGAAAUCAAGACCAUCCUGGCCAACAUGGUGAAACCCUGUCUCUACUAAAAAUACAAAAAUUAGCUGGGCGUGGUGUUGGGCGCCUGUAGUCCCAGCUACUCGGGAGGCUGAGGCAGGAGAAUGGCAUGAACCUGGGAGGAGGAGCUUGCAGUGAGCCGAGAUCCCGCCACUGCAUUCCAGCCUGGGUGACAAAGCGAGACUCCGUCUCAAAAAAAAAAAAAAAAAA
rnacentral:lncRNA from 1 species